CACUAUUCCCUCUGUGAGUCUCCAUGUGUGAGGUUGUUUUCAGUGCCUAGCCUGAUAUUUGUUUGUAACAUGAAUAUAAACCCAGAGACAGAGAUGUUGGGGCUCAAGCUUCAAGCUGAAGCUCAGAAAAGCAAAGCAGCCAGCCACUAGCUCUUACUAAGCCUGAAAUGGCCAUCCUGCCUCCACAAAUUAUCAGACUGCAAUGCAGACCGCACUGCUCUCCACUGAGCCUCAGACUGCAAUUGCUCAGUUCCUGUUUCCUCCUGCCUUAUAUUCCAGCCAUAUCAUCCUAUUUCCAGCUUCCGAGUUCUGGGAUUAAAGAUCUAGGUUGAAAUCCUCAACUCGAUUGAAGUCAGUACUGGAAGCUCUGGUUGGAGUGUCAGUUGAAACGGAGUAAGUUGGAUCCAGUGCAGUCUAGGGGUUAUGGCCCAAUUUUUUUUCCGGAGCAUCCAGGGAUUGCUGUCAGGCGGGUCUUCAUUGGCUGUGUGGGACUCAAACUUCUUGGGCACCAGACCAAUAAAAUGGGCAGGAACCCAUGCUAUUUGCAGAGGAAAAUGGGGCGAAAAGCACUUCCGGCGUACAUUGUCCAUAUAAAUUAUACUUGUUUGCAAUUCAUCGACUCAUUCUUUCUUUUAUAUCCAUAUGUAAUGUAAACGAUCAUCUUUCUCUGAAGCUCAAUAAUGAUGCACAACUCAAAAUGUGAUAGAAUCAGCUAAAAGAAAGCAGAUGGAAGAUUUUUUCCUCUAUAUGCAUAUUCAUAAGAAUACAGAGAACUCAACAAAAGGAGAUACAUAAGAGCUCAUACCCGGAGGCUACAUGGACUUAUGUAUGGCAGUAACUUGUUUUUCUGCAACUGUUUGUUCUUCAAACCUUUACUCAUUUCUUCCUGAAGCAGUCACUAAAAAUGCACUGGGAAAAAAAACUGCUUCCCUCUAUACAAACAAACAUAUCCCCCUUUGAAUUUUUAUUAUACCUUUGGAUUCAAGAUUCAGGAAGUAAUAUUUGUGUACUUUACUAGAGACCACAAUUAGAAAGCAAACCGCACACCAAAGUGAGAUCUUAAGGGCUGCUUUAGCAAUGCAAGCUACAGACAUUUCCAAUCACACUAUUAUGUGACCCCCCCCCAAAAAAAAAUGAUAGAAAAUAAUAGUGAACUGCCUGGAUCAUGUUUGUCUCUGUUUUUAAAUGUCUAUAAUUAAUUAGAGAUGAAGGAAGUUCAUUUGUUGUACCUA
rnacentral:lncRNA from 1 species